rnacentral:rRNA from 1 species
CCAGACUCCUACGGGAGGCAGCAGUGGGGAAUAUUGCACAAUGGGGGAAACCCUGAUGCAGCGACGCCGCGUGAGUGAAGAAGUAAUUCGUUAUGUAAAGCUCUAUAAGCAGGGAAGAAAAUGACGGUACCUGAGUAAGAAGCCCCGGCUAACUACGUGCCAGCAGCCGCGGUAAUACGUAGGGGGCGAGCGUUAUCCGGAUUCACUGGGUGUAAAGGGAGCGUAGACGGCCAUGCAAGCCAGGGGUGAAAGCCCGGGGCCCAACCCCGGGACUGCCCUUGGAACUGUGCGGCCAGAGUGCGGGAGGGGCAGGCGGAAUUCCUGGUGUAGCGGUGAAAUGCGUAGAUAUUAGGAGGAACACCGGCGGCGAAGGCGGCCUGCUGGACCGAAACUGACGUUGAGGCUCGAAAGCGUGGGGAGCAAACAGGAUUAGAUACCCUCGUAA